rnacentral:rRNA from 1 species
GACCAUCCUCCAAGGCUAAAUACUCCUGACUGACCGAUAGUGAACCAGUACCGUGAGGGAAAGGCGAAAAGAACCCCGGCGAGGGGAGUGAAAAAGAACCUGAAACCGUGUACGUACAAGCAGUGGGAGCACGCUUAGGCGUGUGACUGCGUACCUUUUGUAUAAUGGGUCAGCGACUUAUAUUCUGUAGCAAGGUUAACCGAAUAGGGGAGCCGAAGGGAAACCGAGUCUUAACUGGGCGUUAAGUUGCAGGGUAUAGACCCGAAACCCGGUGAUCUAGCCAUGGGCAGGUUGAAGGUUGGGUAACACUAACUGGAGGACCGAACCGACUAAUGUUGAAAAAUUAGCGGAUGACUUGUGGCUGGGGGUGAAAGGCCAAUCAAACCGGGAGAUAGCUGGUUCUCCCCGAAAGCUAUUUAGGUAGCGCCUCGUGAAUUCAUCUCCGGGGGUAGAGCACUGUUUCGGCAAGGGGGUCAUCCCGACUUACCAACCCGAUGCAAACUGCGAAUACCGGAGAAUGUUAUCACGGGAGACACACGGCGGGUGCUAACGUCCGUCGUGAAGAGGGAAACAACCCAGACCGCCAGCUAAGGUCCCAAAGUCAUGGUUAAGUGGGAAACGAUGUGGGAAGGCCCAGACAGCCAGGAUGUUGGCUUAGAAGCAGCCAUCAUUUAAAGAAAGCGUAAUAGCUCACUGGUCGAGUCGGCCUGCGCGGAAGAUGUAACGGGGCUAAACCAUGCAC